rnacentral:tRNA from 1 species
GGGCGGUUAGCUCAGUUGGUUAGAGUACAUCCUUUACACGGAUGGGGUCGCAGGUUCGAGUCCUGUUCCGCCCACCA